UACGUAGGGACCAAGCGUUGUCCGGAAUUCAUUGGGCGUAAAAGGCGCGCGUAGGUGGCCCAUUUAAGUCCGCUGUGAAAGUCAGAAGGCUCAACCUUUGAAAGCCGGUGGAUAACUGGAUGGCUAGAGUACGGAAGAGGCGAGUGGAAUUCCUGGUGUAGCGGUGGAAUGCGCAGAUAUCAGGAGGAACACCAAUAGCGAAGGCAGCUCGCUGGGACGUUACUGACACUAAGGCGCGAAAGCGGUGGGGAGCGAACGAGG
rnacentral:rRNA from 1 species